rnacentral:misc_RNA from 1 species
GAUGAAGAACGUAGCGAAAUGCGAUAAGUAAUGUGAAUUGCAGAAUUCAGUGAAUCAUCGAAUCUUUGAACGCACAUUGCGCCCGCCAGUAUUCUGGCGGGCAUGCCUGUUCGAGCGUCAUUUCAACCAUCAAGCCCCAGGCUUGUGUUGGGGACCUGCGGCUGCCGCAGGCCCUGAAAACCAGUGGCGGGCUCGCUGUCACACCGGGCGUAGUAGAUUUUAUCUCGCUCAGGGCGUGCUGCGGAUUCCGGCCGUUAAAAAGCCUUUUUUACCCAAGGUUGACCUCGGAUCAGGUAGGAAGACCCGCUGAACUUAAGCAUAUCAAUAAGCGGAGGA